rfam:Stegodyphus mimosarum contig107405, whole genome shotgun sequence.
ACAUUCGUGGUGUAAUGGGUAGCACAUUCGGCGCGUAUCCGAGAGGUCCUGGUUCGAGUCCCGGCGAUGGCA